UACGUAGGGCGCAAGCGUUAUCCGGAAUUAUUGGGCGUAAAGAGCUCGUAGGCGGUUUGUCGCGUCUGCUGUGAAAGACCGGGGCUCAACUCCGGUUCUGCAGUGGGUACGGGCAGACUAGAGUGAUGUAGGGGAGACUGGAAUUCCUGGUGUAGCGGUGAAAUGCGCAGAUAUCAGGAGGAACACCGAUGGCGAAGGCAGGUCUCUGGGCAUUAACUGACGCUGAGGAGCGAAAGCAUGGGGAGCAAACGGG
rnacentral:rRNA from 1 species